GAACAAUUCAAGGACUUUUAAGUCAAGCUCUGUGACAUCAACAACUCGAUAUAUACUUCAAAAAAGAAGUAUUUAGAGAGAAAGGUCAUGAAGAAGAUUCUUAGAUAACUUACUAAUCAAUUUCAUUUUGUAGUAAUUACCAUCGAGGAGAGUAAAAAUAUUGAAAGCAUAAAGGUCGAAGAGUUAGUAGUACAAGAGUUAUGAGGGAGUGUUCUUUGGUUAGUCAGAAAAUAGCCAUGACUAUCGAGUGUAUAAAAUAAGGAUUCAAACUAUUGUCGAGUCUAUUAAUGUCAAUAUUGAUGAUACUGAUGAUUUCUCCUCUUUCUCAUAGGAACAUGAGAUUUAGAAUUUGGUAAAACAAAUUGAAGGUACUCAGAAUUCUCCAAAAAAAUUAUGCUACAGAUUCUAAAAAUAGACGUCGGACAGAAUUACCAGUACCAAGUUCUGAUGAUCCUGCACUAGCCACUGCAAGCAUUCACCCGCUAGAAAAAGACAGUGAAUUGUAGAAUAAAAGGCAGUUUCUUACCUGGAUCCAGAAAAUUCAUCUACUACAAAAUGCGCUCUCAGAUCGUGGAGAUAGAAUGAUGACCAGACAAAGACUUGCUAGAAAACUGUGGAAUGUUUGCUGUACCUCACAUAUUGAGCCCAUAAAUGUAAUUGAGGUACUCUUGUUGAUGAAUCUUAGUAUCACAAUACUGGACAAACUGGCUCAAUUUGAGCAAAGCAAUGUAUGGAAUUUAGUAUCUCGGCUAAAAGAUACAAAUAUGAUUGAAACAAAGUGGAUCGUCCAAAACAAGUCAGAUGAGCAUGUCAAUAUAGUCUGAAACAAGGCACGACUGAUAGCACAAUGUUACACUCAAGUUGAAAGAGUGGAUUUGAUGAUACAUUUGCACAUGUGGCCAAACUUGAAUAUAUCCGACUUUUAUUAUCUGUGGCAUGUUGGAUGGGAUUCAAACUUAUCAGAUGGAUGUGAAGAGCGCCCUUUUGAAUAGAAUUUUAAAUGAAAAAGAUACGUUGAGCAACCAAAAGGAUUUAUUGAGCCAUAUCAUGCUAACCAUGUAUUCAAACACAAAAAGGCGUUGUACGGGCUAAAAUAAGCUCCAUAAGCUUGGUAUGAAGUAUUGACUAUGUUCCUACUAAGAAGGGAUACAAGAGAGGGGGAGAUGACAAAACUUUGUUCAUUAGACAGCUCAAAUGUGGAUUAAUAGCAACGCAAAUAUUGUUGAAGACAUUAUGUUUGGAUCUAUGUCUGAAAUAAAAUUUAGGGACUUUGUUACUCCUACGCAAAAUGAGUUUGAAAU
rnacentral:lncRNA from 1 species